rnacentral:rRNA from 1 species
GAUGAACGCUGGCGGCGUGCCUAAUACAUGCAAGUCGAGCGAACAGACGAGGAGCUUGCUCCUCUGACGUUAGCGGCGGACGGGUGAGUAACACGUGGAUAACCUACCUAUAAGACUGGGAUAACUUCGGGAAACCGGAGCUAAUACCGGAUAAUAUAUUGAACCGCAUGGUUCAAUAGUGAAAGACGGUUUUGCUGUCACUUAUAGUUGGAUCCGCGCCGCAUUAGCUAGUUGGUAAGGUAACGGCUUACCAAGGCAACGAUGCGUAGCCGACCUGAGAGGGUGAUCGGCCACACUGGAACUGAGACACGGUCCAGACUCCUACGGGAGGCAGCAGUAGGGAAUCUUCCGCAAUGGGCGAAAGCCUGACGGAGCAACGCCGCGUGAGUGAUGAAGGUCUUCGGAUCGUAAAACUCUGUUAUUAGGGAAGAACAAAUGUGUAAGUAACUAUGCACGUCUUGACGGUACCUAAUCAGAAAGCCACGGCUAACUACGCG